CACGUAGGGUGCGAGCGUUGUCCGGAAUUAUUGGGCGUAAAGAGCUCGUAGGCGGUGUGUCGCGUCGGCCGUGAAAACUUGGGGCUUAACUCUGAGCGUGCGGUCGAUACGGGCAUCACUUGAGUUCGGCAGGGGAGACUGGAAUUCCCGGUGUAGCGGUGAAAUGCGCAGAUAUCGGGAAGAACACCCGUGGCGAAGGCGGUUCUCUGGGACGGUACUGACGCUGAGACGCGAAAGCGUGGGGAGCGAACAGG
rnacentral:rRNA from 1 species